rnacentral:lncRNA from 10 species
GUAAGAUGAAUUCUAUGAGCAUGAGCCCAGUGUGUUUGCUACUUAUGACUCACUGGAUCCAAUCAGCAUAAUGUCAUAAUGUUGUCAAUGAAAAGAGUUGAACUCUGUAAAAUAUUUGAAGAGAUUUAUUCUGAGCCAAAUACGAGUGGCCAUGGCUCAUGAUACAGCACUCAGGAGGUCCUGAGAACAUGUUACCAAGGUGGUCGGGGCACAGCUUGGUUUCAUACAUUUAACAGAGGCAUGAGACAUCAAUCAAACACAUUUAAGAAAUACAUUGGUUUGGUCCAGAAAGGCAAGACAAAUCAAAGUGGGGGCUUCCAGGCUAUAGGUGAAUUUAAAUAUUUUCUGCUGGACAAUUGGUUGUUUGUGUCUAAAGACCUGGGAUUGAUAGAAAGGGAAUGUUCAGGUUAAGAUAAAAGAUUGUGGAGACUAAGGUUAUUUUGAAGCCUUAUACUGGCUGCCCUUCGAGACAACAGAUGACAAAUGUUUCCUAUUCAGAUUUUAGUUAAUUUCUUUAGGAUUGAGAGAGUCUGGAAGAAAAAAAUCUAGCUAUGUUAAUAGAGAUUCUUUACAUAUGCAAAUUUCCCCCAACAAAGAACAGCUUUCCAGGGCUACUUCAAAAUAUAUCAAAGAAAUGUGUUUUGGGGGUAAAAUAUUUUGAUUUUCUUCUUUGUCUAGUAAUGUUAUGCCAGAGUCAGGUUGGAAAGUUACGAUAUAUAGGGUUAAAUAAAACCCAUCUGAUGAGAAUGUAUGAUUUGUAGGGCAUGACUCACCAGAUAGCUUAGAUAGGAAUUUGGGCAAGUUAAAAAAAAAUCAGAGUUUAGUCCUCAAUGUAAUGGACCAGUGUGAUAUCUUGUGGAAGGGCAAAUAGAUCAAGGUCUCUCUGAACAAGACUAUGACACAAAGCCAAAGAGUUGAUAUACCCCUGAGGCAGGACAGCAAAGCUAUAUUGCUGGCCUUGCCAGCUGAAGGCAAACUGCUUCUGGUGAGCCUUACAGACAGGAAUGGAGAAAAAGGCAUUUGACAAAUAAAGGGCUGCAUAUCAGGUACCAAGAAAUGUGUUAAUUUGCUUAAGCAAUGAAACCACAUCUGGUACAGCAGCUGCAACUGGAGUCACCACUUGGUUAAGCUUACAAUAAUACACUGUCAUUCUCCAAGAUCCAUGUCUUCAGCACAGGAAAAAUAGGAGAGUUGAAUGGGGAUGUGGUGGGGUUCACCACCCCUGUGUCUUUCAAGUCCUUGAUGGUGUCACUAAUCUCCACAAUCCCUCCAAGGAUGCGAUAUUGUUUUUGAUUUACUAUUUUUCUAGGUAGAGGCAGCUCUAAUGGCUUCCAUUUGGCCUUUCCCACCAUAAUAGCCCUCACCCUACAAGUCAGGGAGCUAAUGUGGGGGUUCUGCCAGCUGCUAAGUAUGUCUAUGUCAAGUUUGCAUUCUGGCACAGGGGAAAUAACCACAGGAUGAGUCCCAGAACCCACUGGGCCCACUGUAAGUUCAACCUGAGCUAGAACUCCAUUAAUCACCUGACCUCCGUAACCCCCUACCUUAACUGGAGGACCACAGUGAUGUUUUGGGUCCCCUGGAAUCAAUGUCUGCUCAGAGCCAGUGUCCAAUAAUCCCUGAAAUGUCUGAAUAUUUCCUUUCCCCCAUGCACAGUUACCCUGGUGAAAGGCCAAAGGUCCCUUUGGGGAAGGAUGGGAGAAAGAUUAACAGCAUAAAUUGUUGGUAGUGUAGUGGGGUCCUUCCUCAAGGGGACCUGGCCUCCCCUUCAUGCAAAGGGUUCUGUAAACUGGCUCUAGUCUGAAAAUUAAUUGAGGGGCCAUGAUGCUCUGUUUUUAUAAUUCAAAUUAGUCUUUUGUCCAUUCGGCCUGGAAGUUUUCUGCUUAUUUAAAUUAAGUAGGAAUGCAGUAAGUUUCCUAUCAAUUUCACUUCUAGGAUCACUGUGAUUAACUAGCCAAUGCCAGAGCUCUACACAAAUCAAUCUAUCCCGAUUGCUGCUUUGCCUCUGUUGUCCAUGAUGGUAGCUAUGCCCACUGUGCCUUUGAUGGAUGAGUGCCACCACUUGGCUCCUGCCACCUUGGGUUCCAAUUAUCCCCAUUGCAUUUAAAUUUUGUUGUUGAGUGACUAUGGUUCCCACUGUUAGAUAUGGUAUCCGGAGAAAAGCAACAGAUACAGAACUCUUCAAAGACGCAGGUGCUGCCUUCACAAAUCUGUUUUCCAAAGCAUUGGUAAAAGGUACAUCUUCUGGACUUUCCCAGCUGGGAUGAGUAGGCCUAAAGUGACUAAUCCACUCCAGCAUCCCAAUCUCCCUAAGCCUUUGAAUCCCUUUCUCUACAUUAAACCAAGGGAGGAAAUCAGGCAUUUCCAGUUCUCUCACAGUGAGCCAUCUUUUAAUCCAUAUUUCAGCUAAUGAAGCAAAUUAACCAUUAGAACCUUUAUUAACUCCCUGAGCUGCAACAUUAAUUGCAGAGUCCCUACUUAAUGGGCCCAAAUCAAUAAAUUCAGCCCGAUCCAACUGUAUGUUCCUUCUACCAUUUCUCAUAUCCUUAAUAUUCAUUCCCAUAUCUGUUCUCCAGAUUUCUAUUUAUAUAGAUUGGAAAACUCAAGGAGUUCUUUUCGAGUGUAGUGCACCUCCUUGUGGGUCACACUCUGAACUUCACCUCUAGGGGCCUGCCAAAACUUUAGUUAUAAGUCUAGAAGCAAGCAGGGGUGUUGGGGGGAGGGGGGCUCCUGAGGAGAAUCAACAUUAUCUUGCCUAGCAACUGCCUCAGGGGAGGCCAUCACUCUUGCCUCAGGCAGAGCAGGGUUCAUCUCCUCAGACAAAGAUGGAAAGGCUAAUAGCAGCAUGGGUUGGGGAGGGGAUGUUACCACUACUGGGGAUGGGGAAGCUGUUCCUUCUGGCAGAAAAGGUUCAUCAGAGUUUACAAGCUCAAUGUCCCCAGCUUCAUCAAAGUCCUCUCACAUAUCCCCAUUCCAAGUUGCAAGGUCCCAUUGUUUUCCAAUCAAUGCUCUCACUUUAAUAGUAGACACCUGGCGAGGCUGUGCGUGCACCUUUUGUUGCAGGUCAACCACUCACAUGGUAAUAGCCUGUGUCUGAUUUUCCACAAUUUCAGCUCUUUCUCUGCAGGAGAUAAGACUCACUCAGGGCAAUCUUAGCAGAUUUGAGGCUCAGUAUCUGCUUCUGAAGCCAGGAGUUAGUUAGAAUCCCUGAGUUCGUUUUUUUUCAUCACUCUGUCCAGUGAACUUAGGAGCAACCAACCAACUUCAUUAUGUUCCUUGGUUCUCCACAUAUGGUCAAAGGUAUUAGGUAUUGAGUCACUAAACUCCUUGCCUUUCAUGAGCGGUGAAUCAAGAGUAUCAAAUGCAUUUAUUUUGCAUAAUAACUCUCUAAAUUGUUCACACCAAGGACUGUCUGUUCUCCAUACUAUUAGAAUUAGAGUCCUUAGCAUUUUUAUGGCUAAUCACUUUAAGAAGCCAACUCCAGAAACCUGAAAACCAACAAAAGAACUCCAUUUUUAAUAUUCUUUUCCUCUAGAACCACUCCUGGUACCAAAAUCUGUAUUAGUCACAGUUCUCUAGAGGGACAGAACUAAUAGGAUUGAUGUAUGUAUAAAGGUGAGUUUAUUAAGGCAUAUUAACUCACACGAUCACAGGGUCCCACAAUAGGCCAUCUGUAAGCCGAGGAGCAAGGAAGCCAGUUGAAGUCCCAAAGCUGAAGAGCUUGGAGUCCAAUGUUUGAGGGCAUGGAACAUCCAGCACUGGAGAAAGAGCUCCUGAAAUCGUUUGGGUAAGCAAUUGCUGAUUUUAGUCAAAUUCCCUCACCUCACAAAAAGUGAAGUUUCUGAAAAGUAAUACAGCAGGCAAAUAAAAUCUGCAGGAGACAGCAGAAGGAAAAGCAAUUAUUCUGAAUAAUCUACACAUAAAAAAUAUGAUUUUGUUUGAUAUUUACCACCCCCUUCAAUUUUGAGGAGCGAUUACUUCCAAAUGAGGCAUGUAUGCUGAGUUGUUCUUUGACUCAUCUAUAAAGGUAUUGCAAAAAGGCCUCAUAUGUCCGCUCUAUAAUUGUACAGUUCUCCCGCUAAUGGCAUGAGUUAGUCUAAUACAGAAAUGGAUUAUUAACAGAACAACCUAGCCUUACAUUUAAAUUUACCUUUGACAAUUAAUCAUAAUUGGAAAUAAACAUGAUAUUUUGCUCUUUGACCCCUAAAUCUAUCUUUCAGUUCAUUUCAAACUUGAGAAAAUAAGAAUAGCAUUAUUUAUAGUCUGCUAUAACUCCAAAAUAAAGAAUUCAAUGUGUUUUUAUGUGAAAUAUAUUCUACCUAAAUUUUUCAUCUUAGAA